rnacentral:rRNA from 1 species
GUCUGUUUGAAGAUAUAAAGAGUCUAGCCUGCCCACUGAUUUAUGAGUUAAAGGGCCGCAGUAUUAUGACUGUGCAAAGGUAGCAUAAUUAUUAGGUUUUUAAUUGGAAUCUCGUAUGAAUGGUUGGACAAAAGAACAGCUGUCUUUAAAUUAAAUUUUGAACUUAACUUUUAAGUGAAAAGGCUUAAAUAUUCUAAAGGGACGAUAAGACCCUAUAAAACUUCACAUUGUAGUUAUAUUUUCUUGAAUUUUGAUAUAAAAGUUUAAUUUAAUUAUUUGUUAUAUUGGGGAGAUAUAAGUCAAAUUAAUUUUAACUGCUUAAAAUUGAAACAAUUAUUUAUGAAUAAAAGAUCCUUUAUAAAGAUUAAAAAAUUAAGUUACUUUAGGGAUAACAGCGUUAUUUCUUUAGAGAGUUCUUAUCGAGAAAGAAGAUUGCGACCUCGAUGUUGAAUUAAAAUAUCUAUAUAAUGUAGUAGUUAUAUAAGAAGGUCUGUUCGACCUUUAAAAUUUUACAUGAUUUGAGUUCAAACCGGCGUGAG